UUGAACGCUGGCGGCAUGCCUUACACAUGCAAGUCGAGCGGCAGCGCGGGGGCAACCCUGGCGGCGAGCGGCGAACGGGUGAGUAAUACAUCGGAACGUGUCCAGUAGUGGGGGAUAACCAGUCGAAAGACUGGCUAAUACCGCAUACGAUCCACGGAUGAAAGCGGGGGACCGCAAGGCCUCGCGCUGUUGGAGCGGCCGAUGUCGGAUUAGCUUGUUGGCGGGGUAAAAGCCCACCAAGGCGACGAUCCGUAGCUGGUCUGAGAGGACGACCAGCCACACUGGAACUGAGACACGGUCCAGACUCCUACGGGAGGCAGCAGUGGGGAAUUUUGGACAAUGGGCGCAAGCCUGAUCCAGCCAUGCCGCGUGAGUGAAGAAGGCCUUCGGGUUGUAAAGCUCUUUCGGCGGGGACGAAACGGUCCGUGCCAACACCACGGACUAAUGACGGUACUCGCAGAAGAAGCACCGGCUAACUACGU
rnacentral:rRNA from 1 species